AAAGAGAAAUCAGAUGAUAGGAGGAGGGUACACGUGAUCCCAUACUGGCAUAGGGUGUCCCACAACCUCAAGAAGUUUGCGCAAAGGCACAAUGUUAAUCUUGUCUUUAAUGGACCGUGUUAGUUGG
rnacentral:lncRNA from 1 species